CACUAAGAAGCUAAAAGGGAAUAGCAUUAGCCUUUUAAGCUAAAAAUUGGUGAGUCCCGAACACCCCUAGUGA
rnacentral:tRNA from 3 species